CAAAUUCAAACCAACCUAUAGGUGACCUGUACCUAUGCUUGUACAGUGCUUAAAACAGAGCCAUCUAAAUACUAGCGUGAUAACUGUUAUUAUAGGAAAAUUCAAUCAAAGUUAAUUAAUUAUCUCAUGUUCCCUUAAAGUCUAUCACAUAUGCUCUUAACAUAUCUUCUAACAUCUGAAUUAUGUGCUUAGCCUGACCAUUUCUCUACGGAUAAAAAAUUAUACUAAGCUUCA
rnacentral:lncRNA from 1 species